CUAGUUGGUGGGGUAACGGCCUACCAAGGCGAUGAUGAGUAGCCGGCCUGAGAGGGUGUACGGCCACACUGGGACUGAGAUACGGCCCAGACUCCUACGGGAGGCAGCAGCUAAGAAUAUUCCGCAAUGGACGAAAGUCUGACGGAGCGACGCCGCGUGGAUGUUGAAGGCCGUGAGGUUGUAAAAUCCUUUUGUCGGGGAAGAAUAACCAUGGGAGGGAAUGCCCGUGGGAUGACAUGAACCGGCGAAUAAGCCCCGGCUAACUACGUGCCAGCAGCCGCGGUAACACGUAGGGGGCGAGCGUUGUUCGGAAUUACUGGGCGUAAAGGGCACGUAGGCGGUUCUGUAAGCCUGACGUGAAAGGCUAUGGCUCAACCAUGGCAUUGCGUUGGGAACUGCGGGACUUGAAUCACGGAGAGGGAGCUGGAAUUCCAGGUGUAGGGGUGAAAUCUGUAGAUAUCUGGAAGAACACCAAUGGCGAAGGCAAGCUCCUGGCCGAUGAUUGACGCUGAGGUGCGAAAGUGUGGGGAUCAAACAGGAUUAGAGACCCUGGUAGUCCACACUGUCAACGAUGUGCACUAGGUGCUGGGGCGGACGCUUCAGUGCCGGAGCUAACGCGGUAAGUGCACCGCCUGGGGAGUAUGCUCGCAAGGGUGAAACUCAAAGGAAUUGACGGGGGCCCGCACAAGCGGUGGAGCAUGUGGUUUAAUUCGAUGGUACACGAGGAACCUUACCUGGGUUUGACAUGCACAGGAAUACGGCAGAGAUAUCGUAGCGUAGCAAUACGCCUGUGAACAGGUGCUGCAUGG
rnacentral:rRNA from 1 species